UGCCAGCCGCCGCGGUAAUACGGAGGGGGUUAGCGUUGUUCGGAAUUACUGGGCGUAAAGCGCGUGUAGGUGGUCUGUUAAGUCGGAUGUGAAAGCCCCGGGCUCAACCUGGGAACUGCAUUCGAUACUGGCAGACUAGAGUGCGGGAGAGGUGAGUGGAAUUCCGAGUGUAGCGGUGAAAUGCGUAGAUAUUCGGAGGAACACCAAUUGCGAAGGCAGCUCACUGGACCGCUAUCGACGCUGAGGAGCGAAAGCUAGGGGAGCAAACAGGAUUAGAUA
rnacentral:rRNA from 1 species